rnacentral:lncRNA from 1 species
GCCAAGAAGUUCAUAAAAUUGAGGAAGGAAGAUAAAAAUGCUUAGUUCAGGGUUGGAGCCCUAAUACCGACUAGCUGGGGAGAAACUCAGCUUAGGGUUUUAAAACCCAAAUGCUGAUUGCAAGAAAAAGCUCAGUUUAGGGUUUAAAACCCUAAUGCUAGCUGAAUGGGAAAAGUUCAGUUUAGGGUUUAAAACUCUAAUGCUGACUAAAAGGAAAAGCUCAGUUUAGGGUUUAAAACCCUAAUGCUGGCGGAAUGGAAAAAAGUUCAGUUUAGGGUUUAAAACCCUAAUGCUGACUAAAAGGAAAAUUCAGUUUAGGGUUUAAAACCCUAAUGCUGACUGCAUUGAAAAGCUCAGUUUAGGGUUUAAAACCCUAAUGCUGGCUGAAUGGAAAAAAGUUCAGUUUAGGGUUUAAAACCCUAAUGCUGACUGAAAGGAAAAUUCAGUUUAGGGUUUAAAACCCUAAUGCUGACUGCAUUGAAAAGCUCAGUUUAGGGUGUAAAACCCUAAUGCUGGCUGAAUGGAAAAAAGUUCAGUUUAGGGUUUAAAACCCUAAUGCUGACUGAAAGGAAAAUUCAGUUUAGGGUUUAAAACCUUAAUGCUGACUGCAUGGAAAAGCUCAGUUUAGGGUUUAAAACCCUAAUGCUGGCUGAAUGAAAAAAAGUUCAGUUUAGGGUUUAAAACCCUAAUGCUGACUGAAAGGAAAAGCUCAGUUUAGGGUUUAAAACCCUAAUGCUGGCGGAAUGGAAAAAAGUUCAGUUUAGGGUUUAAAACCCUAAUGCUGACUAAAAGGAAAAAUUCAGUUUAGGGUUUAAAACCCUAAUGCUGACUGCAUUGAAAAGCUCAGUUUAGGGUUUAAUGCUGGCGGAAUGGAAAAAAGUUCAGUUUAGGGUUUAAAACCCCAAUGCUGACUAAAAGGAAAAAUUCAGUUUAGGGUUUAAAACCCCAAUGCUGACUGCAUUGAAAAGCUCAGUUUAGGGUUUAAAACCCUAGUGCUGGCGGAAUGGAAAAAAGUUCAGUUUAGGGUUUAAAACCCUAAUGCUGACUGAAAGGAAAAUUCAGUUUAGGGUUUAAAACCCUAAUGCUGACUGCAUUGAAAAGCUCAGUUUAGGGUUUAAAACCCUAAUGCUGGCGGAAUGGAAAAAAGUUCAGUUUAGGGUUUAAAACCCUAAUGCUGACUAAAAGGAAAAGCUCAGUUUAGGGUUUAAAACCCUAAUGCUGGCGGAAUGGAAAAAAGUUCAGUUUAGGGUUUAAAACCCUAAUGCUGACUGAAAGGAAAAUUCAGUUUAGGGUUUAAAACCCUAAUGCUGACUGCAUUGAAAAGCUCAGUUUAGGGUUUAAAACCCUAAUGCUGGCUGAAUGAAAAAAAAUUCAGUUUAGGGUUUAAAACCCUAAUGCUGACUAAA